rnacentral:rRNA from 1 species
GACGAACGCUAGCGGUAGGCUUAACACAUGCAAGUCGAGGGGCAGCAUGGUCUUAGCUUGCUAAGACUGAUGGCGACAGGCGUACGGGUGCGUAACGCGUAUGCAACUUGCCUCACAGAGGGGGAUAACCCGCCGAAAGACGGACUAAUACCGCGUACACUUUGGAUAGGGCAUCCUGACCAAAGGAAAUGAAUUUCGCUGUGCGAUAGGCAUGCGAGCCAUUUGCUGGUUGGUGGGGUGACGGCUGACCAAGGCGAGGAUGGGUAGGGGAAGUGAGAGGGUGAGCCCCCAGAGGGGGACUGGGACCCGGGGCAGUCUGCUACGGGAGGGAGCAGUGCGGGAGGUUGCACAGUGGGCGAGUGCCUGAUCCGGCCAAGUCGCGUGAAGGAUGGCUGUGUUAGGGAUGAUAAACUUCUUUUAGAAGGGAAUAACAGGAGCCACGUGUGGCUGCCUGCAGGUACCGGAUGAAUAAGCAUCGGCUAACUCCGUG